rnacentral:rRNA from 1 species
UACGUAGGGGGCGAGCGUUGUCCGGAGUUACUGGGCGUAAAGGGCAUGCAGGCGGUCGGACGCGUUUCGGGUGACAGCGGGUGGCUUAACUACCCGAGUGGUCGAAAGACGGUUUGACUUGAGGACGCGAGAGGGACACGGAAUUCCGGGUGGAGUGGUGAAAUGCGUAGAGAUCCGGAGGAACACCGAAGGCGAAGGCAGUGUCCUGGCGCGUAACUGACGCUGAGGUGCGAAAGCUAGGGGAGCAAACAGG